CAACUGAGGCUAUCAUUCAGUGGAUAGUAAACACUAUCAAGCUUCAUCUGGAAAUCACCUUCAUUCUUUUCUUUGGAUCCACAAACUCCAUAGAACAUCUCAUUGAUCUUGUCCUUGGUGUAGAUCUCUGGUACCAGCUUAGUCUGUGUGAAUGAGCUAGCAUGUUCUGGAAGACAUAUGUAGAUGUGCUCAUCUCUCGAAGAUCUUUGCAUUAGCUUUCUAAUAUCAUCCUUGGACACAUUGAUGAUGUGUCCUUCCACAUCUCUUGCACAUCCCUGAUCGUCUCUGUAGACUCCAUACUCAUCCUUCUCUUCCCAGUAGAAUUUCCUAGUUCCAAAAAGGUCAAAGGCUCUUCUGCCAAAUUUUGGACGUUUGUCGUCAACGGAGGGACGUCAACGUCGAUCGACUGUCGAGUAAGAUGUUCAUACUUCUGCUUGAAGUGAUUUUCUAUGCCACCAGCUGUGUCAUAGAACUAUUUUGUAACCCUCUGCUGACGUGUUGGGACGGUGCAUUGUUUGAUGAAGAGAUUAUCUGCUCCAUUAGCCAUCUGAAGAAUGUCUUCAAUGUUCUCUCUGGAUACUUGCAGUGCAUGUCCAUUUAUUGCUCCAUGAAAAUACCAAAUUCAUCAUGUGUUAGAUACUGGUUAUCAUAAUUAGGGUUUUUGCUUACAGUGGAUGAUGGUUUCGGACGGAUGUCGAUCGAUGAUGGAGGGUUGUCGUUGAUCGAUGGACGGUUUGCUCUGUCGAUAGGAUGGGUGAAACGUGUUCUUUCCCCAAUAGCUUUUGCUCGGUGUUGUUCUGCUUCAUCAUGUCUUUGCAUGUUGAGAAGUUCUUCAUAUGUGAAACCCUCAUGAAGUUCAUCUGCUCCUGGCUCAUGAAUUAUCGUUUCUACUGCAUAGCUUUCGUGAUGGUGAUCAUAUUCCCAACUGCCAAUCAAGUAGUCUCCUUCUCAUACACGGUCGACUCCAGUGUUGAUCGAUAGGUAGUAGGCAAUGUCGGUUGAUGUUCGUUUUUGGUUUGUCGGAUGAGGAUGAGUGUCGAUCAUUUGAGUCUAUUCCGUCGAUCGACGAGACAUUCCUUUUCCAAGAGGAAUGGUGGAGAAAUCUAUCUUCCUCAUCAAGAACGACUUUGUACUCUAUAGCUUGUUCCUUUUCAUAAUCUUUAUCAUACUCCUCCAUAUGCAUGGUGUGUCUAGUGUGUACUGCCAUAGUGGGGUUGUUGUAGUCAUUCUCCCAAUCGUCUAGACUACUAUCGACCGAUAAUUCUUUUGGUGUGUCGGUCGAUUUAUGGUGGGCACUGUCGAUUGAUGUGGCUGUGUGAGUUUCAAUCGACGCCGAGUAUUCUAUCUCGUACUCAGCUCCACAGUAGCAUGCUGCAAUGAGUCCUGGAUUAUCAAUUCUUCUGGAGGACGUCUGUAGCUUCUUGACUGGAAUAAAGUUGUAGUGAACAUGAGGAUCUAUGCGAGUCAUGAACAACUGGUUGGUUUACAAGUUGCACAUUGCUCCUACUGUCGACAAGAAAGCUCUCCCAAGUAAUAGAGAAGAGUUCCAGUUUAGCUUGAUAUCCAAGACAUGGAAAUCAACUGGAACUAGCGCAUUACCAAUCUUCAUCUCUAGGUUUCUCCCAAUUCUUCCUGAGCUCCUCUGAGAAUAAUCCACAAAAGUGAAUGAUUCUUUGGAAGGCUCCACCUGCAGACCCAGAUGGUCUGCCAUAACCCUAGAUAGGAUGCUGACUGAUGCUCCUGUGUCGUACAAGGCAUGUGUGAACUCAAUAUCCUUCACCGUACAUUGUAUUGCAAAUUACCCAGGAUCACUCUUUUUCUUCAGUGUAAUCCUCUUCUUCAUCUUUUCUAUAGCUUCACAGAACAUUUUCCUAAUGUCCUCUUCGGUCUCUCUGGUUUCGCCGAAGAACAUCCACAAUCUGUGGGUAAAAUAAGCGUCCUCGAAUGGCUUUUGUAAAGGAAUCCUGAAGACUUUCUUUUGGAAACUUUCAUUUUCCUUUUCAUUAGCUCCCCCUCUUCAAAUGUUUUGCCACUUUUUCCUUUCUUUUCCUCGAGGUUUUUCCCAUAUGAACCCUAUUAAUUUCCAUAGGAUCUACUGCAUCAUCUGAAGGUGUCCUGAUGGCCUCUGGUGGGUUAUCUGAAGGUUUGGGUUGUUGUCUGAGUGCAUUGAGAUGUGCAACGUCUAUCUUUGGCAUCUGCACUCGGUAUGUAAGAGGUGCGCAUCGAUCGAUGGGUGCUGGAGGUUGUCGCUCGAUGGCGGUCUCUUUUUGUCGAUCGACAGGAGUAUCAGAAUGUCGAUCGAUUUUGACAUAAACAGGGCUGGGCGGUUGUGGAUGUUUUUUUGCGAACUCCUCGCGAGUCAGGAGUCUCAUUGUAUUGCAGGAUGCGGUCGACUCCAUAGGUGUCAUCAAUCGAUGCUCUAGAGAGCCUGUCAAUCGAUUCUGAUUGAAGACCGCCAAUCGAUGUUCGAAGUCCGGUGUCGAUCGACACCAAUACGAACCGCCAAAACUCAUCGAGCUUUCUACUUUGAAGUUUCCUUCUUGCAGCUUCUCUUGCUUCACCACUUGCCAAAAAUCAUCAUCUAUGAUGGCAUUCACGUGGUGCUUCGUCACAUGAUCCCUUAUCCCUCUUGUUAAGGCUUUUUGCCUCUUAACAGCUUUUCCUGUCUGAACAACCUGCAUCUCCAGCUUCUUCACAUGAGUGCUCAAAGUCUCAAACUUUGUGUUUAGGUUGGUGCAGACAGAGUCAAUCUUUCCAUUGAAGUCCACCGUGAUGGUGGCUUCUGGUAGUAGGAGUUUCCAUAAUCCUUGUUGUUGUUGUAGUUGUUUCUGUAGGGUUUCUGGUGCUGCAAACUCUGGUUGAAAUUACCCAUAUUUUCAUAGGAAUUUUUGCUUCCACUCUAGUUUCCAGAAUCUUGGAAUCCAAUUCCACCAAUGAAGUUGACAUCUUCUUCUACCUAUGUUCUAUCCUCUGCAUCCUCAACUAAGCAGACCUGCUUCCUAAGAAGCUUGUGAACACUGUCCAGUUUUGCCUUCACUUAAUCCAUCUGGUCAUUCCCAAGAAUGGCUGUAGAUCUCUUCCUUUCAAAAUCAGUACUCUUGGUGCUGCUGCUGGAUGCUAAGUUCUCAAUAACUUUCCUCCUCUGGAUUCCUGGUUUUGAAGUUCCCAUUGCCGGAAGCAUCAAGAGCCAUCUGAUACUGCACCGCGAUGCCUCUGUAGAAAGUACUGAGCAGUUAUACUUUAUUGAAUCCAUGGUGUGGAUAGUUUCUCUGAUAAGACUUGAAUCUGAUCCAGGAGCUUCUGAAUGAUUCUGCAGGCUCUUGAGUGAAUGUAGCAAUCUUGCUCCUCAAGUCUUCAGCACGCGCCUCAUCAAAGAAGUUGCAUAGAAAUGCAUUCUUGAUGUGGUAACUGCUUAAACCAAUGCGAAGCAUCUCCAGCAAGUGAGUAUUUGAAGAGCUUUCAUAGGAGGUAGUCCUCAGAGACUCCCUCGACUUUAAUAGCAGAUAUAAGAUCCUCUAACCUCUCCAGAUGGCCAAUAAGAAGCAUCUGAGAUAACCCAUAGUAGGGUGUAUGUCCCACGAGUGUGUAGUACUGUGGCUUCAACUCGAAAUAUUCCCUCUGAAUAGUUGGAGGACGAAUGGUUGAUCUGUUGGAAUAGAACGGAUCUGGACAGUUGUAAUCAGCCAACGUUUUGGGUUGAGCAGCCUCAUCUACAGGUAGAAUAGUGUCUGUAGCAUCAGUAUCAGACUCAAGGAUUGCAGCCCCCUAAGCGUCUAUCCUCUGACCUGCUGCAUUACGCAGAUGACCUUCAUGGCCAAGAAGGUCUCCCCUCUCAUCACGUAAAAGUAUCAAGGUCGCAACCAUGUCUCGCGGUUCAGUAUUGAUUGAUGGAAGAUGUUGGUCGACGGAAGAAAAGUGUCUUCGGCCGAUGGUGGUGGCAAGUGUCGUUCGACGAGACUGGUGUUUAGGUCGACAGUGGCUGACAAAAAUUGAGAACGAACAAGUGUUAUUAUCGAUCGAUGAGAAACGUAUUCCUUUGCGGAUUGAACGCUCCGAGCAUGCAGAAUCUGAUGAGAAUAGCAGUUGAGUUUUCUUGUUUCUUCUGGUACUGCUGGGCAUGUACCUGGAAAUACAAGAAUUUUUUUUUUUGUGUCAGAAAGUGGUUUUAAGAAGAAACCUAGACUAAACAAGACUAAAUCUAUAAGGCAAUCAAAGCUUCCCGGCAACGGCGCCAAAUUUGAUAUCACUCAAAUUACCCUAAUGAGUGAAUUACUCUCUCAAAUAAGAGGUUCAGUUGUAGUACUUUAGGAUCAAAUCCACAGGGAGCUAGGGAACCUAAUAAAUCUAAUCAGCUUUGUUAAACUACGUUAUUUAAUGAAUUAAAUGUAAAUGUGCAGGUUUGUGAGCAAGUAAUUGCUCGAUUGAUUGAUUGAGGUUUUGGUACUUAAAUGAAAAUAGCUAGACUAGGGUUUUUAUUCAGGAAUUCAGGAUUAAAAUCCUACAGAUGCCUAAUAAGUUGUAUGCAUGAUAUUAUAGAGCUCAACACUUAAUAACAAACCCUUAGGCUUUCGCUUUCUAGGUUUGUCUAUUGACCAGUGUCGAUCGAUUAUUCUAUAGGAAUAUAGAUCGAUACACUUUUUGAAACAUAGACCAAUUAUUCGAUAGGAAUAUUGAUCGACGCUCUUGGUCAAGCGUUAAUUCGCGGAUUGAAUAUGCUCAAUAAGCUUUGUAGAUCAGCUCUCGCCUAUUCUAGCAAUCUUAGCUUAGUUAGGAUGGAUUCAGGGUGAUAUGCAAGUUAUCGCUUAUGUCUACAACUCCUAGGACAAGUUCUAGGUAACUAAUCUAGAAACAGGUAUUACUGACAAUCCUAAUGAUGAAUAUCACAACUUAGAAAUCUAUAGUUGGGGCUUAUCCCUCGUAACUUAUUUAAACCCUAAAUCUAACAACAGAACUACUCAAACAUGACCAAGAAAUUCAUAACAACAAAAGGUAUAAAAACUGCAUAGAUAAAUAGAUAGAUAUCAAUGGAGUUCAAUCACAAAUGUUUUUGAAUCUUCUCUUCAAUCUACUAAAAAUCAUAUAAAACCUUUGCUGUAAAAUCAGUAAAAAAAGAAAGCACACUUUGCCUCUAACAUGUUGACAAAACUUAUAUAAUUAGGUUAAAACUUGUCAGGGGUAAUCUUGUAAAUUGGUGAAGAGUUGGGCUCUAAGUCGGCUGAGACCAAACGGGAUUUCUGCGCGCUUUGCUGUCGAUCGAUGUCAAGAUGUGAACAUCGAUCAAUUAUUCUUCUUCAAUGUCGACCGAUGGUCGUGCUCGAUGGUCAUCUCGGGUGCUUAAUCUAAAUAUCUUUAAAAUAUUCCAAAAACACCACUUUUCUCCAAAUCAUUUUUGAUCCUAUUAAUAUACUAAAUAGAUUCUAUAAUAUAAUAAUUAGUAAUUACAACACUUAUAAACUAUGAAUAAAAGUGGGUCAAAUCCAUAGUCUAUCAUCUGUUUGCAUCUUUUCAUUAAAUUAUGCAGGAAUGGCGCUUGUAAAACCAUUUAAAUGACUCAAGAUAAAUUGAUUUGAACCACUUAAGAAUGGCCGUUCGAUGUUAAAAAAAACAAAUUGAUUGGAUCACAAAUAAAAAUCGUAGAGAAAAUGAUAAGCGACGCUGCGAAGUUCUGAUAAUAUCCAUUUAUUCUACUUCCGACGUUUCUAAUUUUGAUCCACAAACUAGAAAUUAAAAGGAAUAAAAAAUUAAAUAAUUCAAAAAAAAAAUCAGUCGAUUACUCUGUUUUUGUGCAAAAGUCUUAGUCUUCUUUUCUUUUCCAAGAAAGUAUCAAGGUGCUUCCUUUUACUUUGUUUUUUUUUCCCCGGGUAUUAGUGAAAAGGUCUUAGGCCAUCAGGUUUUAUGUAAUUCUCAAUAGGUUUCUUACUAAUUAAAACUAAGAAUAAUACUUGCACUUUGCAUGCAAUGAACAUUAUGCAUUCAAAUGAUAAUACAUAUUAUUUAUUUUGUGUUUGUUUACGUAUAUAAUUAAAUUAGAAUAAGAACAUAAAUGAAAACAAUACUAUUUAUUUAUUUACAAUAAUAUUUUGGCAAAUAUAUCAAUACAAUUAUUUAUUUAUUUUAUAUAGCAUAUAAUUAAAUUUAAAUAAUAUUAACAUAGAUAUAUAAUUUAUAUUAUAUAAAUAUUUAUUAUUGUGACUUCCUACUCAUGAUUUUAUUAAAAGUUGUAUAUUUGAUGUUAUAGAAAAUUUAAACAUUAAUCACAAUUAUCGAUGUGAUAUUUUUUCAAUGCAAAUUUCAAAUUAACAUAUUUAUGUAUUUUAUACGGUAUAUAAUUUAAUUUAAACAACAUUUAAAAAGAUGCAUAUAUAUAUAUAUAUAUAUGAAUAUCUAUUUAUGAGACUUCAUAUUUAUACGAUUUUAUGAAUCAUUUGUAUCUUAUUAUAACAAAAAGGUUAAACGACUGAUCAUAAAAUUUUCAAUGUAGAACUUUAAACAUUUUUAAUAAUUAAUAGUCACUUUAAGAGAUUCAAAAUAACAUACAAGAAAAAGUUUAAAUUUUGUAUUAUAUGGUUAACGUGAUUAUUUAAUUUUCUUAAAAUAAUAUAAAUUAAAUAAAAAGAGGGAAGGUACAAAAAUUGUUAUCAAAUUUUAUUAUUCAUAAUCAUUAACUGUCAUAUAUAUCUUAAUCAUAUUAGAUAAUUUCGUAGCUUUUAUUUAAAAAAAAAUAAAAAAUAUUCUUUUGUACAUUACUAAUCAAAUAGUUAGUUUAUUAAAAAAAGUAGAAGGUAUGUAUAGAUGACUACCUGUUUUUCCAAAGAUUCUAAGAAUCAUCUUAAUAAUAACACGUGGAUACAAAAAAAUAUUGCAAUGCUAUUCAAUUAAUAUAUAAGAGAUAAUAUAUAAAAAAUAAAAAGUGGAGAAACGGAUGAGAGAGACAAGAGAACGUGAAGAGACUUGGUCCGAAAUAAUGAGAAGUGUUUGCCACUUGUCUAUUAUUUAUUCACUUAUAUUAUUUUAAUAUUAAACUUUGUUAAAGAAAUUAUGUGGUUGCCCUUAUAAUCUAGUUAAAUUGUAUCUCAUAUACACCAUUUUUACAUAAUUAACUCAAUGCCCUAAAUCUCACACUAUAGUAUUUUUGUUCAUAUACACACAAUUUGUCACAUCUUGUAUAUCUACCUAAUUUUGAACUUCUUUGUGGUUUUUUUGCUAAUUGACUCUAUAAUCCAUUGCAUAUUGUUGAAUGGCCAAAAAAAUAUAAACUAUAUACAACAAACCCGCUUUAAUUACUGACAAUAAACUAAUCUUAAAAUAUCAAAAUCCUCCGUAUUAAUAAUUUUAUUAACUGCUUUUCAGUUUCAAAAAUUAGUUGAACUAUGUCUUCGCACUUAGUAUCUUUAUUUUUAUAAUGUGUAAUAUAUCUUUUUUCGUUGAAUAGUACAAUAUAUCUAUCAUCCUUAUUGUACAAAUAUUUAUAAGCUCUGCCUCUCAUAUGUAUAUGUCUAACAAAUAGAAUACUAAAUAAAAAUAAUAAAAUAUCAUCAAAUUUCACAAAGAAAAGUACAAGCUUCGUAAAACAAAUAGAUGAAUUAAUUUUACAGAACAAAAGUGAUGGUGGAAAACAUGUUUUCCGUAGAACAAAGCCCUUGGUGGUUCACCUAUGGGUAUUAAGAUCGAUUUUCAAAAAGAUGUAAUCUGUCUCUUUCUCAAAUGAAUGUCACAAACUGUAAAAGAUGAUUUUUUUGGCUGAAUACAAUUUUACAUUCAUAAACCACAAAAACAAAUAAAAUAAUUUAUAUUUUUAGAUUAAUAAUUAAAAUGAAGAAAAACCUUUAGUAGAUGAACUACCUAUAUAAAUAAAUAAAGUUGUUACUUCUUUUUAAAAAAUGACAUAUAAAUUUUCAAAAUAAUAUCCAAAGGACACAUCUUCCUAACUUUAAAAUUUUAUUAAUUUCAACACAUUUUUGUACUAUAAUUUUUAUACCAAAUUUAUUGAUAAAUAUUUAUUACAAUAUUAUUAAUUAAUAUUUUAUUUUAAUCAAUAAAAUUGACAUUAAUUUAUCAAAAAAAAAUUUAAUGAAUUAUAAAUAAUAACUUCAAAAAUAAACAAGAAAGAACAAGAAAGAGUAAUAUAUAUUUAAACUAUUAUUUUUUAUCUUUAAUCAAACCAACGUAAGCAAAAAAUAACUUAUAUGUGAAACUCAUAUUGUUUUAUUUUAUCAUAAGACUCAAGAUUAACAAAAUUAACAAGAAAAAAUGAUAAAAACAUAAAAAAAUAUUAAUACAUAAUAGGCACUAAUUAUUAAUACAUUAUAUACUAAAAUUUAGCAUAAUUGUUGAGAAAAACACAACUAAAGAUUAAUAUACAGUCUAAAAUAAAUUAGUUAAAGAAGAUAAUAUAAUUUAAUAAUAUCUAUUUCAAGAAUAAAUAAAAAACUCUAUAAGAAGAGAAAAAAUGUUUACAUUGUUGUUUUCAGAUUUUAUUAAACUCAAACCAAAAAAAUAUAAAAUAAUCAAUAUAGUGAAAACUUUCUCUGUUUGGUCAUUAAACUCAAAAUUUAAAAACAAAAGCUGAAAAUUGAUGAAAAACCACAAUCAAACAUUAAUACAUAGUCAAAAUGAAAAGUAUAUUUCCAAAUUAAUUUUUUUAUUUCAUUAAAGUCAUGUGAACAAAAAAAAAAAGUUAAUCAAUGGAAGUCAUUAAACUAAAAUAAAAAAUAAUUGACAAGAAAACACAACCAAAGAUUAAUAUAUAGUCUAAAAUAUUUUUAAAGGGUAAUUUGAAAAAAUAACCCAAAACUUGAAUUUGAAUGUAAACAUAUACCAUAAACUAAAUCAACUGCAAAAAUAACCUAAAAGAGUAGUGAAAUUACUGCUAUCUACAUAUAACUAGCUAAAAAAUGUAAACACUUUUUUCUGUUAUAAGCCUGAAGAUAUUUCGUGACAAUGAAGUCUUCAACCAGAAGAUUCUCGAGAAAUCUUCAACUAGAGAAGAUUUUUCCACAAGUUUACUCAUCCAUUUAAUCUUAAAACCAAUUUAUAAAAUUUUGAAAAAUAUUUUGAUGGAAAAUUGGUUGAAAUCAUGUAAAAUUUAUAUGUAAUAAAAUUGAAUCUUUUUUUAAAUAAAUGAAUGAAUAUAGAUUGUGAGUUAUGAUUGUCCAUUUAUUAGGGUUUGGUAACAUAUGUUAAGUAGUGUAUUAGUGUUGGUAUUUUUUAGGGUUAGAUUUUGGAUUUUAAUACUUUUUUGAAAUUAAUAAUUCACAUAUAAGUACUUAGUUUUGUAUUUAUUAAAAAUUUUAUAAGCUGAUUUUAUGUUAAAUGAAGUGUUUAUUGCUUUCUAGUUAAACCAUUUGAUUUUAGGGUUAGGAGUACAAGACUUAUUAAGAAGUCCACCGAUCAGUUAUGCAUUAGUAGAAGUCUUUUGGAACGUAGAGAAAAUAUAGGGUUAAGAAACUUUUAUCAGAAGUAUGCUAAAUUGUAAUGCAUUAGCAUGCUAAAUGGCAAUGCACUAGUAGAAUUUUUGAGAAAUCUUCUACACCUAUAUUUUUUUAACCUAAUUGAUUUUUUUGUCUUUUUAUAUAAAAAAAUCUGUUUAUCUCGAAAGCUCUCAUUUCAGUCAUAAUUGAUCAGUCAUUUGACAUAAUUGGGUCAGUGGACAUGUAUUUCCAAUUAAAUGUUGGCCUGCAUAACUUGCCUCCAACAUGUGGGGGAAUGGAUGCUAAUAUGGGGUUCAUGGAAGGGAUUAUAGCCGAGGGAUAUAAAUUGGGUGAGAACACAGUGUGAUCUGAAUUGGUGGGAGUUAUGAAGAAGCAAUAUGUGGGGAUAUGCUGAUGACUGAAGCUUUUCAACUCUGGUGGUUACCAUAUGUUGUGAUGACAACGAAAAUGAAUCCCCUACAUUUAACGACAUAUUUACUAUCUUAGCUGAGAAUUUAUGAUCUCCUGAUGGGUUCGUUGUUUAUAAGUUAUAUCUAUUCUAUUAAAACAGCAACAUGACCAGUUGAUAAAGGUUGUGUCCAAUAUUUUUUCUGAAAUUUAAAAUGUAAAUCUAAAUAUAUAAAAAUAAUAACUAACUAUACACGGUUAAUACAUAUUUUAAAACAACUCCUUCCAAUAUAUUCGGAACCAACUUCUUUCUAUAAUGCUUUAUUGUUCUUGACGCAACGACAAAGCAUCUAAUAUAUUACUUGAUACUAUGAUUACAUCAUAAUUUCUGCGUAAGUUCAUUUUAUAUCCAAUAUGUUUAUUCUACAUAAUAAUACAUAUACAACUAAAUCAGAAAUUGAUAUAUAUAUAAUACUAAAACAUGAAUAUAUAUAUAUAUAUAUAUAUAUAUAAAAAUAAACCGGUGGAAAUAUAUUUCUUAAGUUUGUUUACUAUAAAAUAAAACUUUAAAAUUUAUCUAAUUUUUUUCAAAAAAUAUAGUUUAUUAAUAUUAAUUAGUGAUGGAACAGGUUUUUAGUGACAUUUAAUUUUUAUAAGUGGACUUUUAACAGAAAUAAAUAUACAUAUAAGCUCGAUUAAUUUAGUGGAUUUUAAAUAGGUUGUUCAAUUGAAAAAUAUUUAUCAAAUAUGAUUUAACUUAAAGUUAGUGAAGACCAUAUUAGCUCAUUUACAUAUAUAUAUAUAUAUACAUAAAAUAUUAAAAAAUUUAUUCGGUUUUCAGUCAAGUCUAUAAAAACCGUUCGAGUAUAUAGGCUACGUCUAAAAGAGUAUGAGAGUUUUGAUUUUUGGGUCAAUUCCGUGUCGGUUUUUUGGGUAUAAAUAUUUUUGACUAAUUAUGUUAGGUAACUAUUAAGAAAAUAUAAUAUGUUGCAAACUUUAGGAAUAAAUUUUUUUAAAAUAAUUUUUGAAAUUCAUAUGACACAAGUGUAUAGUUAUGCAAUUUGACAUAUUUAAUAUAAUUUAAUAUAUCUUUUGGUAAAUAUAUUUAAAUACAAUAUGAUUACAAAAAAAAACACAAAAUAUAAAAAUUAAAUUUCUCCAAAAAAUUAAAACAAAAAAUAUUCCCGCCCUUUUAAGAGCGGGUCAGAAUCUAGUGUCAUAUUAAAACCAUUGGUUUUGAAGAUUGAUGUCAAUGAAGAGCCUAUAUUUUCUAGUAGGUCCAAAGGUAAACAAGCAUUAUUUAAAAUUUAGAAUUUAUUGGUUCGUUACCAUUUUUUUAGGAGGCAUUAAUGUGGACUAAUUUAUGCAAUAGAGAGUAAGUAUAUUUCAAAAUGUGGACAUGAAUUUAGUUAUUAACAUGAUAAUAUUAGAUUUAGAUAUCUACUUUUUUAAAGGAAAAUUAUUGCCAACUACAAGAAUAAUACACCACCACAUGGUCACAUAUCUGCACAAAAGUAACCUAUUGAAAACCACACGAGCUAUAUGAAUCACUUGAGAAAAAUCCCUGAACUAAUAUGUGUUAUAUUGUUAAUACCAUCAAUAUAAUUUUAAUAUCAGAAAAUGUGUCAGAUUUUAAUUUUGGCAUCACCAAGUGAUUUUUUCUUUGGGAAAUGGAACAUAAUAUAUAUCCAAAUUAUCAAAAAAAAAAAACACACACACAUAGAUCUAUCAUUGAAAAUGCAAUGUUAUACAACAAAUAACAUGAGUAAUAACAUGAGAUAACAUGUUAGAACAUGUUAAAAUAUGUUUAGCAUCAAGGUAAAUUGUCAGGUUGCAACUCCAAACACUUUUAUGGUUAUCAAAAUUAUAUUGAUGAUGUUAGAAAUAUAAUAAUUCAUAGUUUAGUGAUGUUUUCAAGUGAUUCAUAUACUUUAUGUAGUAUUUAAUACAUUAUUAUUGUCUAGAUGUGUGAUCAUGUAGUGGUGUACUGUUCGUGCAGCUAGCAAUAUUUUUUUCUUUUUAAUAUAAAUUGGACUGUUUGCUCGGCUAACUAUUUUGUUAACUGAUAAUAUUUCAUGUUUUCACAUUUGGAACAUAUCUUAUUGUUUUUCCUCGUUGAACAUGAUCGGCAUACAAUUGUAAAACACUACUUCGGUAGUAGGUUUGUUUUGUGCUUUGUCAAUAGAGUUUUAAAUGUAGCCAUUCCGCUUCUUCUUACCUUGGAAUGUGGAAACGCCAACACUACAUGGCUGACAUCUGUGUAAUGGGUGGAAUAUAGUUUAUAUGAUGGAAAUGGAGUAAUUGGUGGGUAUUUAGUUCACGUUUAUCUCAUAUAAUUAUACACUCAUGAAACUCCAACCGAGCAUAGAUGGCGUGAGUCGGAAACAACCACUCGUCAAAUCACCUAAACCCGAUCUGGAGACACACUCACCAAGGUACCAAGUAACUGCGACUAAAGCCGGAGAGACAUAAAACGAGACCUAAGGGAACCAUCAUCGGGAGUGCGAACCACCGACCGCCGGAGCAGCACGGGUGUGGAUGUUGGCUUUGAUGGGGGACUUAAUGUUUAUAUUAUGCAUAAUUUUCUUAAUACUACCCGACCUGUUUAACAUUUAGCCAUUGUAUUCACUCAUGAAUGACGAACCUGAAAAUAUAGGCAAGGUUGUGAACAAACAACACAAUGACUAAAUUUUUCGAAUGAAUGGUCUUUAAACAUCAAUACAUCUUUAAACACCACAUGGUAUUGCAUGUGAUCAGUAAAAGAUUCAUUUUCUCAGCACACAAUCAGCUCCAAAUAUGAUUUUGAGACUAAAGACACAAUUUUUUGGGAGAAACACUUAAUUAUGCAAUCUCAUACUUUUUUUGUCAACGCCAAUUUUUAGAAGAUCAAUUGGCAGUCGAAAGUGUAUCCAUCCAAAUGCAAUUUCAUACAAAAUCUGGAGUAUAUUAUGUCAAAUAUGGAUAUGAAUUGCUAUGUGAGAACAGAUUACAAGACACAUAUUCUCUGGUUGAUCAACCGAGCAUCAAUAGUUAAUAGAGACAUGUGUGGAGUGUGCGGAUCCUAGGGAAAAUGAAACAUUUAUGUGGCAAGCGCUCACAGGUUGCAUUGCGACGACAAAGAGACUUGCGUUAAGGCACGUGGGUACCGAUAGGAGCUGUCUUAGGUGCGGUAACUCAGAGGUAACUAUAAACUAUCUUCUUUUUGAAUUCUCCCCGGCCUUGUAAGUCUAGGCUCUACCAGGCUAUCCGUCUCUUCCGGGUUUCUUCCCAAGUACUUUUAUUUACCCAAGCAUGGACAUCUUUUACUGGAGGAAAGAAUAUGUGGCUUAUAUGGAACCACUUAUCGACACCUUUCCUUGGAUCUUAUGGUACAUUUGGAAAGCGAGAAAUGAAAAAGUUUUUAAUAGAAAUGAGAUCUCUGCUAGAGACAGACUCCACUUAGCUUCGAUCAAAGUAGAAUGCUGGCAAGUUGCAAACCUCGAGGAAGUAGAGAAGGAAUUUUUCCAGCUCCAGUUCAUGCGUCUUCUUCAAUUCAUCUCACUGGAUCCCAAACCCCGACUUGCCAAAUUGAUGGGAUAGGGUGGACUUAUCGGGAUCAAACAGGAAUUGAAUACUUUGGCCUUCAAGGAUGCCAUAAAAGUCUCUCAUCCCUUCAUGUUGAGAUGGAAGGACUUAUUAAGGCGAUGUCCUAUUUACAUGACUUACAUAUUGCCACGAUACAUAUAGAGACAAACUGCACUGAUCUGGUUGAAAUGAUUGGGAAUCCAAUCGAUUGUCUGAGCUUUCCUUCCGAGCUAGUCUCCUGCCGCCUUAUACGAGACGGUUUUGCAGGUUUUAGCAUUUACUACAUUCCUAGAUCCAGAAACAUGCGUUCUAUUUUCAUUCCAAGGAGGAAAGAAGCAGCGGUGUUUUCUUUUUCCAUGUAGAUCAGACCCGAUCAGAGCGUACACCUAUUCAGAUUGAUGACAUCUAAUACUUAAUUAUAGUGAAAGUUUUUUUAAUCAGAGUAUUUCAAAAAGUUUCAUACAUCUUUGAAUGAAGUGAACCAUCUUUUUUGUCACAAAAUUGCAAUUGAAUUUAAAGUCCUCUUUGGAUCUUCUAUCCAAUCUAAUAAAAAUUCUAGAAAACCUUUGCUUUAAAAUCAGUAAAACAAAAAAACACACUUUGCCUCUAACAUGUUGGCAAAGCUUAUAUAAUUAGUUUAAAACUUGUCAGGGUAAUCUUGUAAAUUGGUGAAGAUUUGGGUUUUUUGUGCGCUUCGCUAUCGAUCGAUGACAAGAUGUGAACAUCGAUCGAUUAUUCAUCUUCAAUGUCGACCGAUGGUCGAGCUCGAUAGUCAUCUCGGGUGCUUACUCCAAAUAUCUCCAAAAUGCUCCAAAAUCAUCACUUUUCUCCAAAUCACUCCUGAUCAAUAUACUAAAUAAACUCUAUAAUAUAAUAAUUAGUAGUUAAAACACUUAUAAAUUAUGGGUAAAAGUGAAUCAAAUCCAUAAUCUAGAUUUGUCUGCAUCUUUUCAUUAAAUUAUGCAGGGAUGGCGCUUGUUAAACCACUCAAAUGACUCAAGAUAAAUUGAUUGGACCACUGAAUGGGAAGUCAAAGUAGCUCUCUUUGCUAUGCACCCAGAGAAGGCUCCGGGCCCAGAUGGGAUGACAGCUCUAUUUUAUCAGAAAUUCUGGGAUAUUGUGAAAGAUGAUUUAACUCAUAUGGUUAAUCAAUUCCUUUUACAUGGAGAUAUGGCGAAUGGUUUGAAUGACACAAACAUUUGUCUUAUUCCAAAGACAACCAAGCCGGAUCGGAUGUCUCAGUUCCAACCCAUUAACUUGUGUAAUGUUAGCUACAAUAUAAUCUCUAAGGUCUUAUGCGAGAGACUGAACAAAAUUCUCUCAAACCUGAUCUCAGAAAUCCAGUCAGCCUUUGUUGCUGGGAGGCAGAUCUCAUACAAUAUUAUGAUUGCCCAAGAAAUGUUUCAUGCUCUGAGAACAAAACCAAGCGGACAGAAUAAAAGGAUGGCCAUUAAGACGGAUAUGAGUAAGGCGUAUGAUAGGAUGGAGUGGUCGUUCAUCGAAGUUGUUAUGCGGAAGAUGGGAUUUUCGGAAAUUUGGAUUGAAUGGAUUAUGAGUUGCAUCACUGUGGUUAAGUAUAAAGUUCUUAUGAAUGGUCAACCGAGGGGAAAUAUUGUUCAUGAGAGAGGUCUUCGACAAGGAGAUCCUUUGUCUCCUUUCAUCUUUAUUCUAUGCACGAGCGCUCGUUAGCCUUCUUAAUCAUGCAGAGAACCAAGGGAAGAUAACGGGUAUGCGCGUUACACGCGCGUGUCCCUCGGUAUCACACCUUCUCUUUGCUGAUAAUAGCAUUUUAUUCUGUAAGGCGGAGCCCCGUGAAUGUGAAGAAGUGAUGAAAGUAGUCAUGACAUAUGGACAAGCCUCAGGUCAAUGUAUCAAUUUUAACAAAUCCUCUCUACUCUUUGGUAAGAGGAUUGGAGCAAAUGUUAGACAACAUAUCAAAAAUACGCUUGGAAUACAAAACGAGGGAGUAUGGGAACAUACUUAGGAAUUCCAGAGGAUAUUAGCAGGUCUAAAUGUAAACUCUUUGCAUUUCUCAAAGACAAACUGAUAAAUAGAGUGAAUGGAUGGACGGGUAGAUGGCUCUCAAAAGGAAGAAAGAAAAUUUUGAUUAAAUCGAUUUUGUUAGCUUUUCCGACAUAUGUUAUGUCUACAUUUUUGCUAUCGCUAGAGAUAUGUGAAAAACUCGCAAGUGCCAUUGCACAAUUUUGGUAGAGUUCAAAUCCCCCAAAGAGAAGAAUUCACUGGGAAAAAUGGGAAAAAGUAUGUUUACCUAGGGAGGAGGGCGGGAUUGGUUUCCGUAUGAUCCAUGAGUUCAACCUCGCUUUACUGGCAAAACAACUAUGUAGGCUAAUCCAAUACCCUGAUUCGUUAGUGGCUCGCGUGUUAAAGGGAAGGUACUAUAACAUGAGUUCUCCUUUGAGAAUACUCUCUGUAAACAAUCCAUCCUAUGUGUGGACCAGUUUUUCAGCUGCUCGAUAGCUACUGCUAUUGGGAAUUAGGCAGAAAGUACAUUAUGGAUAUGAGGUUAAAGUGUGGGAGGAUCCUUUGAUCCCUACAACACCAGCUAGACCGGCUCGCCCUGCAGCCCCAAUUUUGCAUCUGAAUAUGAGAAUUAGCGACCUUAUUGAUCAGGAAUCAAAGAAAUGGGAUAUGCAGCUUUUGGAGGAUUAUGUUGACCCUGUGGAUAUACCUCUUAUAAGAAGCUUGGCCAUAAGCUCAGCUCAUCGUCGGGACACUUUAUGUUGGAGCUAUACUAAAAAUGGCCAGUACACCGUUAAAUCUGAAUAUUGGGUAGCUAGGAACUUAUUGAUGCCUGGAGAAGAGAAGGAAGUAAUGGAGCCCAUCAUAACAAAGCUUUAAGCCUUUGCUUGGAUGAUAAAGGCGCCUCAGAAAAUAUGUCAUCUUAUAUGGCAAUUGAUAACAUGUCAUGUGGCUGUAACAAGAAAUCUGAUACGGCGCAAUAUGAGAUGUGAUAAUUAUUGCCCGCGAUGUGGAGAACCAGAAGAAUUAUUUACUCAUGCAAUUUUUGAGUGCCCGCCAGCCCUAUAGGCUUGGGUCCUAUCGACAACACCAAAAAGUCCAUAUAUCAUUCUGGUGCCGAGUGUCUAUGCUAAUAUGGACUACCUAUUUUGGAGGAAAAAAAUCACUGGUGAACCAUGAUUAGACAGGAACCCUUAUCCCUGGAUAAUAUGGUAUAUUUGGAAGGUCCGAAAUGAUAAGCUCUUUGGGAGAAUAGACCGUGACCCAUUGGAGCUAGUUCGAUAUGCAGAGAGUGAGUGCCAAGCAUGGUUUGACGCCAAUGCGAUGGUGUUACCUAAUCCACAAGUUCAAAAUAUUGAGGAACCCCGAGUCUUAAAUUUGGGUAAUAUAUGCAUGGUAAAUGGGUCUUGGACAUCUUUAUCACAAUUCAGUAGAUGUGGAUGUGUAUGGAUGGAUAGUUUGGAGAAGGUUCAACUUAGGGGCACCCGGAAUUACCCGAGACGAGAGUCUGCAUUGCACUCAGAAGUGGAAGCGCUACGAUGGGCAAUGGAGAAUAUGCUUCAGCAUUCGACAUGUCAAAGUUUUAGAACAGACUGUAAAGAUUUGAUUGCUAUGAUUAAGGAGCCCCAUGCCUGACCAAGCUUUACAACAAAAUUGGAGAGGAUAGAGACUCUGAAGAUAUGCUUUUUGGACUUCAAAAUCACUCACAUCCUACGAGCGCAAAACCAUAUUUCGGAUUUUUUAGCUAAGAUUGCGAGGUCGUUCUAUAGAUACUUAUGUUUUAUUGGUUGUUCUAUUCCAGUUUGGUUAUCCAGACCACCUCAAGUUUGAGUAAUAGAAUAGCCUUUCGUUGUAAAAAAAAAAAAAAAUUGAUUGGACCACAAAUAAAAGUCGUAGAGAAAAUGAUACCGAAGUUCUGAUAAUAUCCAUUUAUUCUACUUCCGACGUUUCUAAUUUUGAUCCACAAACUAGAAAUCAAAAGGAAUAAAAAAAAAUUCAAAAAAAAGAUCAGUCGAUUACUGUGUUCUAGUGCAAAAGUCUUAGUCUUCUGUUCUUUUCCAAGAAAGUAUCAAGUUGCUUCCUUUUGCUUUGUUUUUUUUUUUCUCGGGUAUUAGUGAAAAGGUCUUAGGCCAUCAGCUUUGAUGUAAUUCUCAGUAGGUUUCUUACUAAUUAGAACUAAGAAUAAUACUUUCACCUUGCGUGGAAUGAACAUUAUGUAUUCAAAUGAUUUUACAUACUCCUUCCGUUCUUUAAAGAUACAUAUUCUAGAGAAAUAUUUUAUUUUCAAAAUAUUAAUUUUUUACAUUUUUAAUGCAUGUUUUAUUAACUAAUUGCAAACUUCAAAAAUCUUAAUUGCACUAAUUAAUUUUUUAUUGGCUUAAAAUUUUGGAAAGAAAAUAAACACAAACAAUUAUGCAAAUUUAAUGGAUUUUAUUAAAAUGUGUGAAAAAACUAGAAUAUGGAUAUUUUAGGAACAUAGGGAGUAUUAUUUAUUAUGUUUAUAAUUAAAUUAGUGUAACAUAAAUAAAAAAAAUACAUCUUUUUUAUUUACAAUAAUAUAUUGACAAAUAUAUCAAAAAAAUUAUUUAUUUAUUUUAUAUAAUAUAUAAUUAAAUUUAAAUGAUAUUAACAUAGAUAUAUAAUUUAUAUUAAUAUAAAAAUAUAUAAUUGAGACUUCCUACUCAUGAUUUUGUUAAAAUUUGUAUAUUUGAUGUUAUAGAAAAUUUAAACAUUAAUCACAAUUAUCGAUGUGAUAUUUUUUCAAUGCAAAUUUCAAAUUAACAUAUUUAUGUAUUUUAUAUGGUAUAUAAUUUAAUUUUAAAAAAUAAAAAAACAAUACAUAUAUAUAUAUAUCUAUUUAUGAGACUUCAUAUUUAUAUGAUUUUAUGAAUCAAUUGUAUCUUUUUAUAACUAAAAGUUAAACCACUGAUCAUAAAAUUUUCAAUGUAGAACGUUAAACAUUUUUAAUAAUUAAUAGUCAUUUUAAGAGAUUCAAAAUAUAGCAUACAAGAAAAAGGUUUAAUUUUUUUAUUAUAUGGUUAAUGUGAAUGUUUAAUUUUUUUAAAAUAAUAUAAAAUUAAAAAAAAGAGGGAUGAUACAAAAAUUGUUAUCAAAUUUUAUUAUUCAUAAUCAUUAAUUGUCAUAUAUAUCUUAAUCGUAUUAUGUAAUUUUGUAGCUGUUAUUUUUUUAAAAAAAUAUGGAGAACAUUCUUUUGUACAUUACUAAUUAAAUAGUUAGUUUAAUAAAAAAGUAGAAUGUAUAUUUAGAUAACUACCUGUUUUUUUAUAGAUUCUAAGAAUCAUCUUAAUAAUAAGAUGUGGAUACAAAAAAUAUUGUAAUGUUUUUCAAUUAAUAUAUAAAAGAUAAUACAUAAAAAAUAAAAAAAUGGAGAAGGGAUGAGAGAGACAAGAGAACAUCUUGUAAGGAAGUGAGUUUGUCCAAAAUGAUGAGAAGCGUUUGCCACUUGUCUAUUAUUUAUUGAUUAUAUUAUUUUAAUAUUAAACUUUGUUAAAAAAAAUUCUGUGGCUGCCCUUAUAAUCUAGUGAAAUUAUAUCCAUAUACAUAAUUUUUCCCAUAAUUAACUCAAUACCUUAAAUCUCGAGCAACCUCCCCUCUCAGAUUUUUUUGAGUUAGCCAUAGGUAAGAAAUAUGCCUACUCUUUUGAUAUCUUUGUUCAUAGACACAUAAUUUGUCACAUCAUAUGUAUUUAUCUAAUUUCUAACUUCUUUAUGGUUUUUUAGCUAAUUGACUCUAUAAUCUAUUGCAUAUUGUUGAAGAGCCAAAAAAAUAUACACAAUAUACAACAAACCCGCUUUAAUUACUGACAAUAAACUAAUCUUAAAAUAUCAAAAUCCUCCGUAUUAAUAAUUUUAUUGCUUUUCAGUUUCAAAAAUUAGUUGAACUAUGUCUUCGCACUUAUUAUCUUUAUUUUUAUAAUGUGUAAUAUAUCUUCUUUCGUUGAACAGAAUAAAUAAUAUAUCUAUCAUCCUUAUUGUACAAAUAUUUAUAAGCUCUGCCUCUCAUAUGUAUAUGUCUAACAAAUAGAAUACUAAAUAAAAAUAAUAAAAUAUCAUCAAAUUUCACAAAGAAAAGUACAAGCUUCGUAAAACAAAUAGAUGAAUUAAUUUUACAGAACAAAAGUGAUGGUGGAAAACAUGUCUUCCGUAUAGCAAAGCCCUAGGUGGUUCACCUAUGGGUAUUAAGAUCGAUUUUCAAAAGAUGUAAUCUGUCUCUUUCUCAAACGAAUGUCACAAAUUGUAAAAGAUGAUUUUUCUUGGCUGAAUACAAUUUUACAUUCAUAAAACACAAAAAAAUAAUAAUGCAUAUUUGUAGAUUAAUACUUAAAAUGAAGAAAAACCUUUAGUAGAUGAACUAUCUUUAUAAAUAAAUAAAGUUGUUACUUCUUUUUAAAAAAUGACAUAUAAAUUUUCAAAAUAAUAUUCAAAGGCAACAUCUUCCUAACUUUAAAAAUUUAUUAAUUUCAACAUAUUUUUAUAAUAUUAUUUUUAUACAAAUUUAUUGAUAAAUAUUUAUAACAAUAUUAUUAAUUAAUAUUUUUUUAAUCCAUAAAAUUGACAUCAAUUUAUCAAAAAAAUUUUUUUAAUGAAUUAUACAUAAUAACUUCAAAAAUAAACAAGAAAGAACAAGAAAGAGUAAUAUCUAUUUAAACUAUUAUUUUUUUUAUCUUUCAUCAAACCAACGUCAACAAAAAUAACAUUUAUGUGAAACUCAUAUUGUUUUAUUUUAUCAUAACACUCAAGAUUAACAAAAUUAACAAGAAAAAAUGAUAAAAACAUAAAAAAAUAUUAAUACAUAAUAGGCACUAAUUAUUAAUACAUAAUAUACUAAAAUUUAGCAUAAUUGUGGAGAAAACACAACCAAAGAUUAAUAUACAGUCUAAAAUAAAUUAGUUAAAGAAGAUAAUAUAAUUUAAUAAUAUCUAUUUCAAGAAUAAAUAAAAACUCUAUAAGAAGAGAAUUUUUUUUUACAUUUUUGUUUUCAGAUUUUAUUAAACUCAAACCCACAAAAUAUAAAAUAAUCAAUUUAAUGAAAAUUUUUUCUGUUUGGUAAUUAAACUCAAAAAUUAAAAAAACUGAAAAUUGAUGAAAAACCACAAUCAAACAUUAAUACAUAGUCAAAAUGAAAAUUAUAUUUCCAAAUUAUUUUUUUGAUUUCAUUAAAGUCAUGUGAACAAAAUAAAAAUAGUUAAUCAAUGGAAUUUUUAUAUUUUUAGUCAUUAAACUAAAAUUAAAAAUAAUUGAUGAGAAAACACAACCAAAGAUUAAUAUAUAGUGUAAAAUAUUUUUAAAGGGUAAUUUGCAAAAAUAACCCAAAACUUGAAUUUGAAUGUAAAUAAUAAAUAUAUACCAUAAAUUAAAUCAACUGCAAAAAUAACAUAAAAGAGUAGUGAAAUUACUGCUAUCUAUUUAUAACUAGCCAAAAGUUUAAACACUUUUUUCUGUUAUAAGCCUGAAAAAUUUUCGUGACAAUGAAGUCUUCAACCAUAAGAUUCUCGAGAAGUUUUCAACUAGAGAAGAUUUCUCCACAAGUUUACUCAACCAUCAAUACUAUUAAAACUGAAAGGCCUUUUUUGAGGUCACCUUUGAGUUUUAAAGGAUUUACAAUCUAUGCCACUGAAAUAAUUUCAACCUAUGUUUUUUAAUUAGAAUAAGUAUUUUCGUAAUUCUUUUUAUUUUCGUAAUACAUUAAAAACAAGCGAAUAUACCCUAAAUCCCUAAUAAUACUGAACGACAUCUUACACAAAAUCCCUAAUAAUUCUAAACGACAUCUAUUUAGUCCGAUUUCGGUUCAGUUACCCUGUUUUAUUCUCAGUGAACAGAGUCCUUCACCCAUCUUUAAAGAGCUUAAAGUUUAAGCUUUUUAUGUUUCCGCAAUAUCUUUACAGACAAUAGUUUCUUUGUCUUCCCAAAUUGAUAUGUUGAUGAAUCGUUAGUACUGAAUGGAUACCUUAUUUGACUCAGAUCUUUCAAGGAAGCCAAUCAUUAACCCUUUUGUCUGUAAUUGUGGGAUUGGGCUCAGUUUAAUCAUAUUUGAGUCUUGAUAACCUGAAAAGGCUUCCAUCACAUUGGUGUUUCUGCCUGUUUAUCUGACCCUGAGGAAAAGACUUAUGUGGAGGGUCCUUUUGCACCUUUUAUUUCCCAUAACUCUCUUUCUCUGCUUAUGUAUUUCCAGCUUAUAAAUAUAAUUGUUCUUGCUUUGAAUCUUGGACUUUACUGUAUGUACAAUUUUCUCUUUUGUUGAUAAAUGUAUUGUUAGUUGAUAUGCAAUUUACUCGCACCUGUUCCAUACUGCAGUGCUUCAGUGUUUAUGAUCUUUAUCAACAAAGCUGUGAUUAUGCAAUGUCCACACUCGAUGAUUUUUCUAACACUUUGGGUACUGAAGAUUUUCAACAACAAAAGCAAGUGGGUAAUUCAUCGCUUAUACAUUGUGGGAAAAGAAAAUGGGACACAGCAGAGCCAACAUAAUCGUUUUGGCCACUUCUGAAAAGCUUCUCUGCGUUUCCAUCUUCUACAAUGCUAAUGUUGUAUUGGUUCUUGCAAGGUUGAGAUGAUUCAGUAUUCUUUUAUAUAUCACCAUCUAAAAGACUCACUCCUCAUAUUGUUAUAAUUGUUUUGAUAGCCGGUUAUAUGUUUGGUAAACGGAAGGACUGAUUUAUUACCUUCGUAUAAACUUUAUCAUGUUUCAAACGCUGAAUAUCCUGAUCAAAUCACAUAGUUUUAAAAUGACAUGAACUUUUCCAAAAAGUUCAAAAACAAUAGAAUUAAAAUGACUAUGUAUUUGUUCAGUUUACCUUCUUGUCAGUGAAAAUGAUCUAAGCCGGAUUUGUUUGCUUCCAGGGGUGGAUUACUUGCACUUACUUUGGCUUCGAUCAAUCAAGUUGUUUCCCAUGGCCUAAUCGUAUCAAGGCACACCAUCUUUUUCUUAGAAGACAUUAUAUGAGAAACGUUUGUGUUUCAAAAAA